rnacentral:rRNA from 1 species
GAUCAUGGCUCAGGAUGAACGCUGGCGGCGUGCCUAACACAUGCAAGUCGAGCGAAGCGCUUAUCUUGGAUUUCUUCGGAAUGACGAGAUCUGCGACUGAGCGGCGGACGGGUGAGUAACGCGUGGGCAACCUGCCCUGUACAGGGGGAUAACAGUUAGAAAUGACUGCUAAUACCGCAUAAGCCCACAGCUUCGCAUGAAGCGGUGGGAAAAACUCCGGUGGUACAGGA